AUUGAACGCUGGCGGCAGGCCUAACACAUGCAAGUCGAACGAGUGGCGGACCGGUUUGUUAUGUCUGGGAAACUGCCUGAUGGAGGGGGAUAACUACUGGAAACGGUAGCUCAUACCGCAUACCAUCGGAUUUGCCCAGAUGGGAUUAGCUAGUAGGGGGGGUAAAGGCUCACCUAGGCGACGAUCCCUCGCUGGUCUGAGAGGAUGACCAGCCACACUGGAACUGAGACACGGUCCAGACUCCUACGGGAGGCAGCAGUGGGGAAUAUUGCACAAGUGGAGCAAGCCUGAUGCAGCCAUGCCGCGUGUAUGAAGAAGGCCUUCGGGUUGUAAAGUACUUUCAGCGGGGAGGCGUUACCCGAAGAAGAAGCAACGGCUAACUCCGUGCCAGCCGCCGCGGUAAUUC
rnacentral:rRNA from 1 species